rnacentral:rRNA from 1 species
ACGUAGGUGGCAAGCGUUGUCCGGAAUUAUUGGGCGUAAAGCGCGCGCAGGCGGUUCCUUAAGUCUGAUGUGAAAUCUCGCGGCUCAACCGCGAGCGGCCAUUGGAAAACUGGGGGAACUUGAGUGCAGGAGAGGGGGAGCGGGAAUUCCACGUGUAGCGGUGAAAUGCGUAGAGAUGUGGAGGAACACCAGUGGCGAAGGCGGCUCUCUGGCCUGUAACUGACGCUGAGGAGCGAAAAGCGUGGGGAGCGAACAGGAUUAGAUACCCGCGUAGUCC